rnacentral:rRNA from 1 species
AAAUUGAAGAGUUUGAUCAUGGCUCAGAUUGAACGCUGGCGGCAGGCCUAACACAUGCAAGUCGAGCGGCAGCGGGAAAGUAGCUUGCUACUUUUGCCGGCGAGCGGCGGACGGGUGAGUAAUGCCUGGGGAUCUGCCCAGUCGAGGGGAAUAACUACUGGAAACGGCAGCUAAUACCGCAUACGCCCUACGGGGGAAAGCAGGGGACCUUCGGGCCUUGCGCGAUUGGAUGAACCCAGGUGGGAUUAGCUAGUUGGUGAGGUAAUGG